UACGGAGGAUGCGAGCGUUAUCCGGAAUUACUGGGCGUAAAGAGCUCGUAGGUGGUUUGUCGCGUCGUCUGUGAAAUUCCGGGGCUUAACUCCGGGCGUGCAGGCGAUACGGGCAUAACUUGAGUACUGUAGGGGAGACUGGAAUUCCUGGUGUAGCGGUGAAAUGCGCAGAUAUCAGGAGGAACACCGGUGGCGAAGGCGGGUCUCUGGGCAGUAACUGACGCUGAGGAGCGAAAGCAUGGGUAGCGAACAGGAUUAGAUACCCU
rnacentral:rRNA from 1 species